GAUCAUGGCUCAGGAUGAACGCUAGCGACAGGCUUAACACAUGCAAGUCGAGGGGCAGCAUGAUUUGUAGCAAUACAGAUUGAUGGCGACCGGCGCACGGGUGAGUAACGCGUAUGCAACUUACCUACCAGAGGGGGAUAGCCCGGCGAAAGUCGGAUUAAUACCCCAUAAAACAGGGGUCCCGCAUGGGAAUAUUUGUUAAAGAUUCAUCGCUGAUAGAUAGGCAUGCGUU
rnacentral:rRNA from 1 species